rnacentral:rRNA from 1 species
GACGAACGCUGGCGGCGUGCUUAACACAUGCAAGUCGAACGGUAAGGCUCCAGCUUGCUGGGGUACACGAGUGGCGAACGGGUGAGUAACACGUGGGUGACCUGCCCUGCACUUCGGGAUAAGCCUGGGAAACUGGGUCUAAUACCGGAUAGGACCAUGGUGUGGAUACUGUGGUGGAAAGUUUUUUCGGUGUGGGAUGGGCCCGCGGCCUAUCAGCUUGUUGGUGGGGUAAUGGCCUACCAAGGCGGCGACGGGUAGCCGGCCUGAGAGGGUGGACGGCCACAUUGGGACUGAGACACGGCCCAGACUCCUACGGGAGGCAGCAGUGGGGAAUAUUGCACAAUGGGCGGAAGCCUGAUGCAGCGACGCCGCGUGGGGGAUGACGGCCUUCGGGUUGUAAACUCCUUUCACCGUCGACGAAGGGUUUCUGACGGUAGAUGGAGAAGAAGCACCGGCUAACUACGUG